CAGUCGCCGCGGUAAAACGUAGGUGGCAAGCGUUGUCCGGAAUUAUUGGGCGUAAAGGGCUCGCAGGCGGUUUCUUAAGUCUGAUGUGAAAGCCCCCGGCUCAACCGGGGAGGGUCAUUGGAAACUGGGAAACUUGAGUGCAGGAGAGAAAAGUGGAAUUCCUAGUGUAGCGGUGAAAUGCGUAGAGACUAGGAGGAACACCAGUGGCGAAGGCGGCUUUUUGGCCUGUAACUGACACUGAGGCGCGAAAGCGUGGGGAGCAAACAGGAUUAGAUACCCCAGUAGUCCCUGUCUCUUAUAC
rnacentral:rRNA from 1 species